UCCGGCGGACGCUUCUCCACUUCCAUCCAUUUCGAUUUCAGGUUUGUUUUCACCGGACCUCUCCAUUUCUUAUCCACUCCUCUACAUUGGCAGUGCCGUAUCCAUCAUCUUUGAAGUCAAGUCUCAGUAUGGCUUCGACAUCAACUAACGGUCCCAUGUACAAGAUUGACCCUGCUCAUCAUUUUCAGUCUAUAGUAAGUAGUUUAGCACAUUUAGAAAACAGUACACGUACAAUAAAUUUAUGACCUCCUCUUUAUCUAAAUCUUUAACAUGGAAUUGGUAACAAUCAAUUGGGUUGACUUUCAUUGUCAAA